CCCUUAGAUGUUCUGGGCCGCACGCGCGCUACACUGACGGAGGCAGCGAGCGUGUCCUUCGCCGGCAGGUGCGGGCAAUCUUGCGAGUCUCCGUCGUGCUGGGGAUAGAUGGUUGCAAUUGUCGAUCUUGAACGAGGAAUUCCUAGUAAGCGCGAGUCAUCAGCUCGCGCUGAUUACGUCCCUGCCCUUUGUACACACCGCCCGUCGCUACUACAGAGUGCCCGUGUCCAAGAAACGGUCGGACCUGUGUGGCCUCUCCGGGCGACCGGAGGGCCGUUACGGGGAAGACCCUUUAUUUGACGCGGGUCGAUGAAGUAAAAGUCGUAACA
rnacentral:rRNA from 1 species